rnacentral:snRNA from 1 species
AUACUUACCUGGACGGGGUCUUUGGGCGAUCAAAAAGGCUCAUGCCUAGGCUUGUGGCUAGCAUUGCACUACGCGGGUGCACCUGUCUAACAUCUCCCCAAGUGGGAGAGUGUACGUCAAAAUUUGUGAUAGAGGGGGCCUGCGCUAGCCGCGGCCCCUGU